UAGAAGUGUCCACACGGGACGCUGGGAAGUACGGACUCUAACUGGUUAGGGGCUGAGGGAGGGCAGCGGGGGCUGAAGGACUCACUGGGGGAGAAGGCAACAAAACUACUCACCUUCAGCGAGCCACGUCUCCUGGAAGUGACUGAGAUCCUGGAAGAGAUCUGACGGACUGCAGGGGCUCCAAGCCCUCCUCCACGCCCUCCUCCACGCCAUGGAUGGAAUGUGCACCUCAGGAGACUAAUUACCUGCGUCAGUGUGCGCGCGCGCCAGUGUUCGGCUCAAUGAAGAGACUCGAUGGCUUUUUAUCAGGGUCACCACAGAGCAGAUCCGUAAUUGCCCCAUCCCCACUCUUCGGGUUAGAAACACGGCCCUUGUGUCUUUUUAUCUCCGUGUCUUCACAUUACUAAGGAACAGAGAAAGGAAGCAAACGCUGCUAUGGCACAGGAUGCUUAGAGAAGGCAAAACAACAAAACAAAACAAAACCUGCUGCCCUUGUUCCAGUUUACCUUCCAGGAACUUGACUGUGUUUGUUGACUGUGUCGUUUCAUUACCCCGACCCCGACCCCGUCUCAUGUCACUCAGUCAGGCCUCAGGCUCAGUGGAUAGCAUCCUCAUCUUUCAGACUCCAUCUGAGGGCUGAGAUCACAGAUGCGUACUCAGCAUGCGGAUGAACCCUCUGUUAAACAAGGGCUCUCCAGGCCAUCAGCAGAAGAUAUAACCGGCCCAAAGGAGUGAGGAUGGAGAGGAACACAAAUUUUGCAUUAGAGGGGGCUGACGGAGAGAGGAGGAUGGAGGUUGAGAGGCAGCGAUGUCACUGUCCCUGCAGCAGAAUAUCUCACCCACAGACCACGGGCGCCCCACAUUCGAGCCUGGCAAUUUGAAGGCCUGAAGAGUAACACCUGCUUGAAGGACCUUCCCAGGCAGAAGAAUUGGUCUUGUCAGGUCCCAGGGCAAUGCUCACCGCAGAGGAAGUGCUGGGCCAACAGAAGCUUGCUGAAUGAAUAAACGAACCCACAGACGGGAUGACCAGGAUGAACUCCUCGGGCCUAGAGCACGGAUGCACAACUCCCCGCCCCCAUCCCAGGCCUCAUCUGCUGAAGUCAUCACACAGGUGCCUCGCAGAUGCUCACUCGACAAGUGAGUGACUCUCUGGCUUCCCCUGCAUCCUUCCUGCAGCUCCGCAGGCUUCUCUUCUCUUUCUCUUAAUGGACUUUACCCCGGUGCUUCGGAGAGCGGGAGGCGGCCGGGAGUCCCCCAUUACUCCACAAAGGCCACCACGUAAGUGCUUCAACUUUGUCCUCACCCUGCCCCCCCCAUAAGUCAACAGGGUGGGUGGGGGCUGGGAGGGGGAAACAAAGGAGCCGAUAGCAGGUAGGAGCAAGUCAGCCUUCUCUCUGUGCAAGUCACCACCAAUAAAACCCAAUCAAUGCAGCCCUUUUUAAGUUGGUUGGAUCAGUGACCCAGAAAAUAGCUCCCCUGCAGCAAAGGAAAUGAUAGUCAAUAAACUGAGCCGCCAAUGGGAAAAAUCUAUUAAACGGAGCGAGAUAGCAGGAGACCUCUGGUGUUAACGGAGACCCUUUGGAACAGAGCCACAGAGCCAAGAGCCCGCGAUUAACCCUCUAGGCUCAAGGCCCGGGAGUCGCCUCUCUCUCAGCGCCUGCAGCUUCUGGUCCCCUCAGAUGGCAAGGAAGGAGCACGCUACAGCUGCGAGGGUUUCUUUGUGUCAUUUUCCGGCUCAAAUGAACUCUUGGUGGGGGAGUGUUCCCAGUUAGGUGCUCAGUAGGCUGGACGUAUGUGGCAUACAAUACCUUAUUCCCCCCCCCCCGGGAAGUAUCUUGGGGGGGGGUUGUCUCUUGACCUGCAGAUGUAGUUUAGCUGAUGGAGUGCCUGGCUAGCAUGAAGGAGGCCCCAGGUUCAAUCCCACAACUUGGGUUGAUAGUGCAAACCAGUAAUCCCCAAGCUUAGGUGGUGGAAGCAGGGGGAUCUCGGCCCUACAGUGAGUUCACGGCCAGUCUGGGCUCCAUGAGAUCCCGUCUCAAAAAUAAGACGAAUAUAGAGGUCUCUGUUCUCCCGCUUACAGCGGCUAUGCCGGCUGGGGUGUUGGGAGGUAGGGGAGAGGCCUCACCCCACUCCAGGCUGCUGACGCCGCCUUGCCAGCCGGCGGGGCUUCCCAGCUCUGGUAUCGACAAAGAAGAAAGUGGCUCCCUCAGUGUGUACUUUGAACCCUCUGUCACCGGAUCAAUGCGAGGUGGGGGACCAGGGACACUGGGAUGGGGUGGCAGGUUUCUCGGGGAAAGCUGUAUGAACCCAGAAGGAUUCGGACAAAAGACCAGUUCUUCCCAUCUGGUCCCGGGAAAGCCACAGUGUCCACCCCAGCCCUUCGGUUGUCACCACGGAUACCGAGUCACGUGGGCUGCAUCUGCACGUGCAUCUGCCAAGUGCGUGCCCAGAGCUGAGGACCCUGAUGCAGAAUGCCCCCAGCGUGCCGUGCCUAGCCUCGUCUUCAAUGAAAGGUCACGUUGACGUGUCACAGGUCGAUACGGCCAUGUUCAGGCAUGUCAAAGGCGGCCUGCUGACGGGCCGUUGGGCCAACUUGGAGGGGGACAGGCCUUGGGCCGAGCGCUGUGGGGAACAAGACCUCAGCUCUGCUAUGGCUGCGUUCUUUGCCGCUGCACGGACUCUUAUGAUGCUCAGUUCUGUUUUUUUUUUUUUUUUUCAUUCUGCCAGCAUGUGUGUUUGCACACCAGAAAAGGGCAUCAGAUCUCACCAUAGCUGGUUGUGAGUCAUCAUGCCGGUGCUGGGAAUUGAGCUCAGCACCUUUGGAAGAGCCGACAGUGCUCUUCACCUCUCAGCCACCUCUCCAGGCCCCUUAGUUCUGUUCUUAUGUGCCCCGCCAUAUCGUUCUUACUGCUUUUCACUGCUCUUCACGCCACCUCCUAGGUCACUGAACUAUGGGAGAGCUGUUGGCAUCUUCCCAGUCCGGGUGGGUGGGUGUUUAUUCUGCAGGUGGCCGAGGAAUGCGUAAGAAUAUGAUGAGACUCUCAGCCCUUCCCUUCACGGAUUGAGUCUCAUGUAGUCUAAGCUGGCCCAGAACUCAUUGUGUAGUCAAGAGUGACCUUAAACUCCCGAUCAUCCUGCAUCCGCCUACCAGUGCUCUGACGACAGGCAUGUGCCACCACGCCAUGCCUGAGAUGAGUUUAUGGAUGUGGCAAUCUCGGGCAAUAUGUUCAGAGUAGGGGAAGGUCCUCAUUGCAGCUCUCCCCUUCCUUCUCUCAGAUGGACACUUGCAUUAUUGUGGAGUAUUAGCUGCUACUGCAGGGGAGUGGUCACAUUUAGUGGGUGGGGAUCAUAAAAGAUAUUCGUGGAGAUAAGCCAGAAGCAAUCUGUCUGUCUGUCUGUCUAUCUAUCUAUCUAUCUAUCUAUCAGUUUAUCGAGACAGGGUUUCUCUGUAUAGCCUUGGUUGUCCUGGACUUGCUUUGUAGACCAGGCUGGCCUCGAACUUACAGUGAUCCACCUGCCUCUGCCUCUCUGAGUGCUGGGAUCACAGGCGUGUGCCACCGGGCCUGGCUUCAGAAGCAACUUUAAGAUAGUUUUUAAGAGCUGAGUCGGACUUGUUUCUCUGUUAAGAAGGAAGAUGCUUUCCCGAGACUCUGAGAGUCAGAUGGCUACUGUUUUCAUCGGCCAGCUCAGGGUCGGAGGUGACUUCCCCCGUGGACCAGCAGAACUAGUGGACACACGCGUGAGCCGGGUUUUUGGUCCUUGUGAGUUAUGGGUUGAUGCCUUUUAAAGACUGCAGUGGUUUCUUUGGCAUUCCAGAGAACAUCCAGAGGGUGUCCGCUGUAUAUCCCAAGGUCUGCGUGUCAUGCCCAGAAUCCCCAGUAGGGACCCACCCAUCCCCCCUCUUCCUUGUCACCUUCAACUCAGUGACCUCGCUUGUGUAGGCGAGUUCUACAUGCUGAGAAAAGUGAACUGACUACUCAUUCCUAGGGGGCGGUAUCAGGAAAGAUUUUUUUUUCAGUUUCAAGGUCAGCUCAUCACUUCAGCUGUGUAACUCUAGGCAAGUCACUUCGCAUUUCGUGAUUUUUACGGUUUCCUUUGUAAAAACGAGGAUCGAUAAUGUCUUUUUCACACGGUUGCUCUGGGCCCAGACUCAACAAGGUCUGUGCAGCAGAGUGGGCGUGUUUAGCACCAGAACUGGAGUGAGGUAAGGACCUGGAAGUUGACAAAAUCCUGGAGCUAGGGAAAUGGCUCUCAGUUGGUACAGCGCUUGUGAUACAAACACGAGGGUCCGAGUUUGACCCGUGUGAAAAAGCUGGAUGUGGGUGGCUCUUUGUACCUACAAGCCCCAGGGAGGUGGAGAAAGGAGGAUCCCUGGAGUUCCUGGCCAGCCAGCCUAACCUCACCAGUGAGCUCCAAGUUCAGCGAGAGAGACUCUAUCUCAAAACAAAAACCCAAAAAGCUACGACCUCUGACUACACCCAUGGACACACAUGCACGCAUAGAAAAGGACAGGGUUUUUAGAGCUACAGUUAUUUAUUUACUUAUUUUUCUUUCCUGUAUGGGAGGCUUGUGGCGGGGGGGAGUGCCCAGUGCCAUAGCGUUCCUGUGGAGGUCAGAGGUCAGUCUGUGAGAGUCAGCCCUCCGCUACUGUGUGGAUUUCUUUAGCUAGAACCCAGGAUGCCAUGCUUGGCUAUAAGGGCCUCUACCCGCUGCCUCGCCAGCCCAAAAGAUAGUAUUUUAUUUGCAAAUAUUGGACACCCUAUGCUCGAGGCUGUCAGCAGUUUCUUCGGGGGUGUGGCGCUGGGGGUUCAGUGAAUCCAGGACCCAGGGCUUCAAACAUACCAAGGCCACCACCCUUCCACUGGGCCGCAAACCCCAGCCGGAGAGAGUGAUUUAGAGCAAAACAAAACCAAAAACUUAGGGCUGAAGAGAUGGCUCGGUCGUCUCUUGCGGAGGACCUGACGACAGUUCCUAGGGCGUCUCCCUCCCGUCGGGAGGCUCACAGCUAGGAAUCUCCAGCUCCGGGGGAUCGGACGCCUCAGGCCUCUUCAGGCACCUGCAUGCAUGUGCACGUACCCACACGCACACACAUAUAAUUGAGAUAAGAUAGGAAUUUAAUAGCAUCCUUAAGAGCGAUAGAAACCCAGAGUCACUUCACGGGUGGAGACCUGAACCCCCUAACCGCUCCGCCCGCCGCAGUUGCGUGCUGCCGCCACCAGGUGGCAGUGUUGGCAAGCGCACAAGAACGGAGAGUUUUACCCGGGUUUAAACUUUUAUUUAGGAUGUGGAUACCUUAACGGGCCAUCCAAUCCCACGCAUCUUUACCUCAGGAGAUGGAGGGACAGAGAGGGGACGAACUCUGCCCAAGAUCACAGCCCAAGAUCAAGUUCCUUCAGGCUAUCAAGAGCUCUGCCAACUGAGCUACACCCCAACCCUUUUCAUAAUCUUUUUUAUUUUUUAUUUUUUUCCAGACAAGGUUUCACUUAUAUAGUGAAACCUGGAAUUCACUGUGUGGACCAGGUGGCCUCAAAUUCACAGCAACCCUCUUGCCGUGACUGUAUGGCGCGUGGGCUGCUGCUUUGGGCUGGUGUUUGGGACAGGAGUCUGCUGUGGUGUUUUUGUUUUUUGUUUUUUUGUCUUAGGAUGGAUGACGAGACCCCUGCCACACAGUCUUGUCUCGAAGGUUCUUGGGCCUCUGGGAUGGCUCGGCGGAUAAAGGUGCUUGCUGUUGCGCGUGACACCCGAGUUUGAUCUCAGGGACCCACCUUAACGGAAGGAGAGAAUCAGCUCCCACGACCUCCACAGCUUCACUGGGGCGUUCUCCAUCUACAGAAUACAUUUCAAACUGUAAUUAAAAAAAAGGAAGGCCCUGUGUGGGGCCUCGCCCUCACUGGGGCACGGUGGGAGGUGACUGGGCCCUGUUCCGCCGAGACCACUGGGAUCACCUUGGGUCACACAGCAUUUGCCGAGUCUGCGCGGUUUGCCCUUUGGGAGCUGGCCGGGUUGGCUGGGAGUAGACCGAGGUGACCCACCUCGGAGGUUUGUAACCUCUGAUGGGUCCUUUGUCCUGCCCGGUAGUGCGGGAACAGCACGCUCUGCGCAGACUCCCAGCCUCCCCCACUGCGGCUCCCCGAGAGUUCCUUUCCAGAGCACUCACUGACUGCCUGAGCCACAGGAUGCGAUGAUGGAGCUAUCAUUGGUUGACAAGGAGCAGCUGGUACCUGAUGCCACCUUCACUGUGAAGCCCACCGGGUGGGCUCUGUCCAUGCGCUCACGCCUCUUGAAGGGCCCCGCCCCCACCCCUCAGCCAGCUGUGCUCAAGUGGGAGGAGGUUGUUAAUCUCCAGACUGCCCCUAAACAGAGGGUGCUAUGUGGUUUUUCUGAAUCUUUCAGUUUUGUGUGUGUGUGUGUGUGUGUGUGUGUGUGUGUGUGUGAGCAUGUGUGCUUGUGUGUUUUGUGUGGGUGCCGGGACUGAACUCAGAGCCUCAGACAGGGUAGGCAUGUGGUCUGCUGUGGAGCUCUUUCCAAGCCUCUUUGUUGUUGUUGUUUUUGGUUUUGGGUUUGGGUUUUUCUGAGACAGGGUUUCUCUAUGCAGCCUUGGCUGUCCCAGACUCACUUUGUAGACCAGGCUGGCCUCGAACUCACAGAGAUCUGCCUGCCUCCGACUCCCCGAGUGCCGGGACUAAAGGCGUAUGCCACGGCACCCAGCUUUCAAGCUUCUCCUGAGUAGCCGUCUUUCCCACAUCCCAGUCUUAGGGUGGCCUAACUCGCCGUUUCGCCUGGUGCUAUGAAAUGAACAGAUGCCCAGCAGGUCUGUAAUGAUGUGGUGCCAGGGCUUACUCCACGUCUGUAGUUGUGGCUCAGACGUGCCCAGGACCACACGCCUUGCCUCUUCUCUUAGCUUGUAUCUGUGGUGUCCCUAGGGGCUUUCACCCAAGGCAUCUGAUGGAGAUGAUCAUGGGCCGUGCCCUUGGGUUAGAGAGCAGGAAGCCAGAAGUCAUGACAUGAUAUUUAUUUCGUUUUUUUCUUCUGAUCUUAUUCAGAUGGGUUUGGCAAUUGCUACGCAAUCCAGGCUGGCCUUGAACUUGUGUUGAUCUUCCUGCCUUGGCUCUUCAAGUGCUGGGAUUACAGGCAUGAGUUACCGUGUGUGGCGACCUUUAAAAACAAACUCCUUAGCUUUACAGGAAAGCUGCACUUAGACUUUUUACUCAGCUCCUCCACACGCUAAGCCACACAACCAGGUACUUUGGGCAAAACUGAGAACAGUACAUCGCUAGUAAAUCACGAUGGUUGGUUUUAGCUGUCAACAUGGCACAGCCUAGGAUCCCCUGGGAAGGAAGUCUCAAUGAGGCGCUGUGUAGAUCAGGAUAGCUUGAGCACGUCUUUUUUUUAAAAUUGUGUUAACUGAUGUGGAGAGACCCAGCCUGAAUGUGGGCUGUACCCUUCCCUGGCUUUGGGUCCUGGACAGUAGGUAUGGGGAGUGGGCUGAGCAAGAGAGGCAGGCAUGCGUUAAUUCCUUCUCUCUGCUCUGGUCGGCGGAGGUGGUGGGGCUAGCUGCGUCAGGUCCCUGCUGCCUUUGACUUCCUGGCAUCGUGGGCACAGAUAAAUCCUUCAUCCUGUAAAUUGCCUUUCCUCGGGGUAUUUUUUUAUCAUAGCAACAGAAACAAAAGGAGAACAGAAGACUUCUACCAGCUUCCGUCAGGGUUUCCAUGAACUUGGCCUUUGGUCCAUAUGAUCUUGUUGAUAUAUUUGUUUAUUUGAGACGAUGUUUCACCCUAUAGCCUCGGAUGGUCUUGAACUCUUGGAGAUCACCCUGCUGCAGCCUUCUAAAUACUGGGAUUAAAGGCUUGGCCUACCAUACCAUUUCAUUCUUUUGAGGCCAGAUUUUGCUAUGUAGUGUCUCCCAAACUUCUCUUAAACUUAUCAUCCUUCUGCCUCAGCCGGCCUCCUGAAUGCUGGGAUUACAGUGGACAGAACCAAACCAGGGUUUAAUCCACAUGAUUUUAGAGACAGCGCUUUUCACAAUUCACACACAGGGCUGAGGGUAUAGCUCAGUGGUUGAGCCCUUGCUUAGCAUCCACUGGUUUGAUCCCCACUGCUACAAAAUUGAAAAAAAAAAAAAAAAGUAAAUUAUGGUAGCAUUACUUUACUCCAGGGAACCAAUUUGAGUUAUUUCAUUGUAAGGACAAAAGGUGUAAACAGGCAAACAUUCUAGUUAAAUAUUGUCACUAUGUUUAUUCCUUUUUGUUUCUCCCUCUCUCUUGGGUACUAUCGCAGGCUCUGUGUGAGAGUAAAACACUGUUUGUUUGUUUGUUUUUAAGAUUUGUUCUUAUUUUUUAUUAUGUGUAAUGUAUGUGUGUCUAUGUGUGGGUAUGUAAAUGUGAGUGCAGUACCAAUAGAGGCCAGAAGAGGGCAUCAGAUCCUCCUGAAACCCCGCAUGGGAGCUGGGAACUGAAAUUGAGGAAUCCCUUGGAAGAGUAGCGAGUUUUCUCAACUGCUUUCCCGCCCAUGAGAUAUCCUUUUGAAAAAAACACUCUCAAAUUAUGUUUUGCUGUACUGGAUAAGUCCUUGCAUGUGUAUGGCAAGCACUCAAGAUACAUACCCAGACAUUCCAUCCCCCCCCUCCUUUUUGUUUUUGGUACGUGUAUUUGUUUUGAAGUGAAGUCCUACUCUACAGCCCUGGCAAUCUGGAACUCACAGUAUAGUCCAAACUGAUCUGGAACUUCCAGAGGUCUCUUUCCAUUGCCUCCCAAGUGCUGAGAUAACAGACAUAGACCAUAGCCCGCCGGCAUGAGAUCCCCUUCUACACCCAUGACAUUACCGUCUGAUGGCUGCUGGUUUGAGCAAGGAGAAGAGGUUGCCGGGCCAGUGGAGGGGUGAGAAGAGCAGAGGGGGCGUAGGACAGGAAGUGGGGUUGAGGCAGGCCUGUAGAAGAGAAGGCUCUCUAGGUGUGAAUGAACCCCUCAGCCCUGCCUCCCCAAAAGGCAGAGCUGUGCCUUUGGGUUGAGAGUGGGGUGAACACCCUGGGCUCCCUGGCCCAUGGAUCACAGCCAGUUUUCUGUCCCUGUCUGUCUCCCUCUCCUUGAUUACCCAUCUUCCACGUGUGCACUUGUCUGUAACAUUGCAUCGUCACAGUCAAUUACAAAUGUCACCAGAUUCUCUGUUAAUAGGAGAGGUGAACCUUCCACCCCGCUGUAAGGAAGGCAGGAUCCUCCUGUGGAGCUGAGUCUAUGGAGGCCGGAAGGGCUGGAGGAGGAAGAAGCAGGAAUGCACGUUGACUGAGGGGUCAGUUAAGGUCUCCGCCCUUUGGCUUCUUCGUAGCCAGCUCCCCCUGUGUUCUGUGGGUCUCAGACAAUGUCGGCUGAUGUCAUCUUCCGCCCUUGCUGCUUUCUAAUUCUCUGCUUCAAGAGGUGGGCCAGCUGGGGACCGGUGAGCCAGCAAGAGGAUGUGGGAGGUGAAGUAUUCGGAAUUUGGUUCAGGAAUUGCUUUCGGGAGGUGAGGGAGGCAGUGACCUCUGGGCGCUGUCCUUGGCAGGCUGUCCACCUGGGGAGAAGGCAGCUGAUUGUGGAGAGACUCUUGAAUCCUGUCCCCACUCCUGAGGACAGGGCACCCUACUAAGGUGGCCUAAGAGUAGAGGGCCACGCCCACCCUCAGGCUUCCAAGUCUGUGUCUCUCCAGGUGCCACGCUUGCUUCAAGAAGAUGCUUGGUAGAGAAGUGGCGGUGGGGGUGGGGGUAGGCACUUUGGGUGCAGUGGAGGCUUCUAUAGCCACAGGUGGACUUUUACUCAAGACUUAGGGUGCCGGAAGCCCAGGGUCACGCAAAAACUUCUACUGAGUCACUGGCUUCAGGUUCUUGUCUUUCCAACAUUUAGAGGAUGCGCUCCCUGGACAGUGGGAGGGUGGAUUUGGACAGGAGUUUUCUUAUGGGAUGAUGGGUGGAGCUUGAGGUAAAGCCAGGCAGGGUACCCGUGACAGCAGCAGGGCCUAGAAGUGGGGCACCCAUUGAGCUGCUGGGCCGGGAGGUUUCUUUGUUUUUUUUUUUUUUUUUUUCCUUUCACAGUUUUUAUUACGCUUACUUAUUUACUUAUUGGGAUAUGCGCUGUGGCACACGUGCGGAAGCCUGGAGGACAGCCUGCAGGAGUUGGUUCUUUCCUUCCAUCAUGGCUCCCAGGGGCCCAGCUCACGUGGUUAGGAUCAGCAGCCCUUACUCGCUGAGCGCUCUUGCCGCCGAGGCUUCUUGUGGAAGAACCUGACAUGAGGCGUGGGUGAGGGUGGACCAGCCAGUCCUGUCACCCCAGCCCUGAGGUGCUGAGGGGCCUCCCAGUUGCAGCCGCCCGAGUGCACCCUCCAGUCACGAACACAGAAUCACAGAGACGGACGUAGACCCACAGAGGAAUGCACGGAACACACGGGCGCACACACAUGCCAACGCCCGGACUCGCAUCCAGGGGUAGAGCUCUGUGACCCCUGGCCUCAAUCCAGAGCUCGGAACGCCAGGUUUGGAGGCCCCGGAUCCUGGUUCCCCCAGCCCAGUGAGGACGAUACAGGCCACCUCCGGAGAGCCUGGCCAUGCCGACGGAGGAAACGGAAACAAAAUUGAAUUAAUUACUCUUUACGUCGAACCCUUCUUCUUGAGUGUGCUAAGCGUCUGAUU